rnacentral:rRNA from 1 species
GACGAACGCUGGCGGCGUGCCUAAUACAUGCAAGUUGAGCGAUGAAGAUUGGUGCUUGCACCAAUUUGAAGAGCAGCGAACGGGUGAGUAACGCGUGGGGAAUCUGCCUUUGAGCGGGGGACAACAUUUGGAAACGAAUGCUAAUACCGCAUAACAACUUUAAACAUAAGUUUUAAGUUUGAAAGAUGCAAUUGCAUCACUCAAAGAUGAUCCCGCGUUGUAUUAGCUAGUUGGUGAGGUAAAGGCUCACCAAGGCGAUGAUACAUAGCCGACCUGAGAGGGGGAUCGGCCACACUGGGACUGAGACACGGCCCAAACUCCUACGGGAGGCAGCAGUAGGGAAUCUUCGGCAAUGGACGAAAGUCUGACCGAGCAACGCCGCGUGAGUGAAGAAGGUUUUCGGAUCGUAAAACUCUGUUGGUAGAGAAGAACGUUGGUGAGAGUGGAAAGCUCAUCAAGUGACGGUAACUACCCAGAAAGGGACGGCUAACUACGUG